UAUCUCUGUAGAGUCUGCAUAUCAAUAAGCGGAGGAAAAGAAACUAACUAGGAUUCCCUUAGUAACGGCGAGUGAAGCGGGAAGAGCUCAAAUUUGAAAUCUUCAAGGUUUUACCUUGACGAAUUGUAGUUUAAAGAAGUGUUUUCUGUUGAAGUUUUGGUAAAAGUUCUUUGGAAUAGGACAUCAUAGAGGGUGAGAAUCCCGUAUUUGACCAGUUACUUUCCAGCUGUUGUGAUACACUUUCAAAGAGUCGGAUUGUUUGGGAAUGCAGUCCAAAAUGGGUGGUAAAUUUCAUCUAAAGCUAAAUAUUGGCGAGAGACCGAUAGCGAACAAGUACCGUGAGGGAAAGAUGAAAAGAACUUUGAUAAGAGAGUUAAACAGUACGUGAAAUUGUCAAAAGGGAAGCGUUUGACACCAGUGUUGUUUUCUCGAAAAUCAAUUAAAAAGUGUUGGAUUUUGUAUUGUUAAGACCUUAUCAGCUUACUGUACUCUUUUCCUGCACUUUUUAAUGCACUUUUCGUUUAACAAGUCAACAUCAAUUUCUUUUGUUGUAAAAGAGUCAUUGGAAGGUGGCUUUCACUUCGGUGAAAGUGUUUAUAGCCUUUGGCUUCUGCAAUCGGAGAGAUUGAGGUCUGCAGCGUAGAUCCUUCGGGGCUAGAUACGUAGAUGCUAAGUUAUAGUUUUUUAUAGACAACUUGUUGACUAUAAUUAAUCAUGUAGCUUACUCGUUUGCGCUAUUUUACCUACGCUUAGGAUGUUGAGUCAUCACACAUCUCU
rnacentral:rRNA from 1 species